rfam:Ascaris suum AG16056, whole genome shotgun sequence.
GCAGUGAUGGUUCCGAGUGGUUAAGGAGUUUGACUAGAAAUCAAAUGGGCUCUGCCCGCGCAGGUUCGAAUCCUGCUCGCUGCG